ensembl:lncRNA
GGGGGGGUUCACUGUUGCCUGUGUAUGUAACUGCCUUGUUCCAAACUCAGUCACAGCUGACUGACAGUGAACCACAAUGUGGCUGUAAUUCCAAACAGUCAAACAUCACAGGAAGUCUCUGGUGACACCAGCAUAGGUAGACUACAACUAAACAUUAUCCUGUAUAUUAUCAUGCUCAUUAUCUGAAAAAAAAAAAAAAAAUGCUAUCGGAUUUCUGAAUCCUUCCCUUUUGAAACUACUGGGUAAAAUAUAAUUUGAAUUAAGCAAUAGACCUUGAUCCUUGCAGUGUGUCAUCUGAGAGAAUUUUCCUGAAAGAAAAAAAAAAGAGUGAUCAAUGAUAGAUACCAAACAGUCUUAUUGGAGUAGCAUGUUUAAAAAUAAAUGACACAGGACAUACAUGCAGUAUUUGUGUAUACCUUCAAUCAUUAUGUUUUAUCUCUUAAUUAUAAACCAUGUUUUUGUCUCUAGGCAAAGAAUGAAAAAUCAUAAACAUAUCAAAAGAAAUAUCUUCACCGAUACUUGAAUUAAAGUGCGCCAAUUGUAAAAUGUGAAUUUAUUUUUUCAUACAUUUUUGUUUGGGUCUGACACUUUCAAGGUAUUUGAUAACAUGCUCACAAGAUUUAAUAUUCUUCACAAGAAAGAAAAGAAAUGCGAUCUUAAAAAAAAAAAAAGGUUGAAUGUGUUUGAGUGGUUUUGUAUGUGCGCUCUCUAAUCACUGCUUCUCGUCACGGGGCGACUGUCUGCAAUUAUGAUCCAUUUACUUAGUAUGGUGUACUAUCGCUGUUAUUUUUAUGUGUGUGUGUUUUUAAAAUUGUUCUAACAUGGUUACUAUCUAGCGUUGCACUGAGUGUCUUUUUUCCCUUGCUCAGCUAUACUAAAAAACUGAAAACUGCAGGGGAGAUGAGGACAAUUCAUGUGUUAAUGUUUACUCAAGGACUUUAUGGAUUUAUUGUCAUCUUAAAAUGUUUAAAACCUGUAAAAUUGUAUCCUCAUAGUGGCUUUUAAUGUGGAGUAAUUCCCACAAGAGUUAUCAUUUUGAAGAGUGUUGCAUCAUUUCAAUUGCAUUAUUAAAAUAAAAUAAAAAAAAUACAAAAAAAUGCCAUAGUGAGAAAGUUGGUAGAGAAGCAGUUACAUUUAUGGAUGAACAGUAAAGAUAACCAGAUGCUAGUUAGUGACAUUCUGACUCAUUUCAAAAGGUGCCUCUCUUCCAUUCUGUGAAAUUCUUUUUCUUUUCAAAUCUACCUACCGUUUACAAAAGGUUGAAUUUUGUGAACUUGCAAAAAGAAAAAAAAAAAGAAAAAAAAUUGAUUAAAAGAAUGCAAGAAAAAAAAACUUCUUCCAUCAAAUAAAUGUGAAAAAAAAAAAAAAAAAAAACUUUUCAAAUGAAGACGUAUGCUACUUGCUGAACUCUGGGAUUGUUUCAGUGUUGCAUUGUGUUUUGCUUAUGAAUUACAUUUUUAUUGUUCUUGUUGGUUGAACUAAUGCCGAAAUGUCUUUAAGUUUUCAUUUCUGUAAAUGUAACAUGAUUCUGUCACUGUCUUGCACACUGACAAUGGACUUGGAUAUUUUCUCAGGAAGAUUAGGGGUCCAGAGUUCCAGUUCCACUGUUAUAAGGUUGAUUAUCAUGAGAAUUUAAGUCAGUUAAUGAAAGAAGAAAAAAGAUGUUGAUAGAAAUCCAGCUUUAAGCACUGAAGGUUAUGGAUUUAAAAAUGUCUUUUUGAAUUUUAAUCCGUAGCAGAUACACAUUUACCAAAUAUUAGAUUUGUAGUGAACCUAUGCGUUAUAUUUCUUGAAGUGGAGUACUUUCCAUUUGAAAUAUGUUUGUUUGUAUCUGUCGCUUUAUGUACAAAUACAGUUUUGUUUAUUGGUUAGGUUGUGGAAGGACCUACCACUGUUUGAUUUUACCUUGCCUGAUGUUUCUCAACGAGGUCCAGUAAAAGAUGCUUGAUAUUCCAUCCUCUUGUCUUUACUUGUUUUAAAAAUUUAGUAGAGGCCUGUAUGCAAAGGCCUGAGAAUUGUAGAUUAACACAGAACUUGAACUCUUACCAGAACUUCUUACUAGUUUUUGAGUGUAGGAUGAAAAUACUCCAAGGUUUAACACUAGAUGCAGAAAUAAGAUGUUGUGAAAGGAAUAAGAAUCUAUGCACAAGUUUGAGGGGGACAGUAUGUCCAGACACACUAUUCUUACAAGGAUACAAGGGUCUUUUUGGUGGGUAGGGGGAUUUCCAGUUUCUUUGUAUGAGUUUUCAUUUUAAUCAGCAGAAAGUGUCAUCACCAUGCUCUGUCUUUCAACCAAGGAUCAUCAUCAACCAAGCACUGUGGGUUUAUGCAAAUCUCUGACAUUCUGGUGUUUAAAUGGAACGAUGGGUUGUGAAAGGGAAUUUAACUGUUUCUCUUUAUUGUUCAGAUAUUAAGAACAAGACUGUACUGAGAUUUAACAGUGUUGCUGGCUUUUAAAUGUUUUUUUUUUUCCUUACCCUUAAAUGGAUAGCUGACACAAAAAUGAAAAUCCUGUCAUUUACUCACUCUAAGGUUGUUCCAGAUCUGUACGAGUUUCUUUGCUCUGGUGAACACAAAAGAAGAUAUUUUGAAAAAUGUUACUUCCAUAGUUCCUUUUUUUAUGUUGUUGUUUUUUUCUCUCACUAUACUAUAGAGAUACCAACAACUGGUUACCUACAUUCUUCAAAAUAUCUUCUUCUGUGUUCAACAGAAGAGAGAAGUUUAUACAGGUUUGGAACAACAUGAAGGUGAGUAAAUGAUGACAAUUUCAUUUUUGUGUGAAAUAUCCUUUUAAUAGAAUGUGAUCGUUGAGGACUUGCACCGAAAAAGUCUUUCCAUGUGCUAUGGAGAUUAUUUCAGCCUAUAUUAAUAAACAGCAUUUUUCCUCUUGAA